GGCUCGUUGGUCUACUGGUAAGACUCUUGCUUCGGGUGCGAGAGGUCCCAGGUUCAAAUCCCGGACGAGCCC
rnacentral:tRNA from 1 species